CCUACGGGGGGCUGCAGUGGGGAAUAUUGCACAAUGGGGAAAACCCGAUGCAACAAACGCGGCGUAACGGAUGAAGGCCUCCGGGCCGAAAGCCCCGGCCUAAGGGGAGGAAAACUAAGGGACCCUAGGGAGGAAGCCCGGGCUACCUAGGUGCCAGAAGCCGCGGAAUUACGUAGGGGGCUAGCGUUAUCCGGAAUUACUGGGCGUAAAGGGUGGGUAGGCGGCCCUUCAAGUCAGAGGUGAAAGGCUACGGCUCAACCGUAGUAAGCCUUUGAAACUGUAGGGCUUGAGUGCAGGAGAGGAGAGUGGAAUUCCCAGUGUAGCGGUGAAAUGCGUAGAUAUUGGGAGGAACACCAGUUGCGAAGGCGGCUCUCUGGACUGUAACUGACGCUGAGGCACGAAAGCGUGGGGAGCGAACAGGAUUAGAUACCCUAGUAGUC
rnacentral:rRNA from 1 species